rnacentral:rRNA from 1 species
UAGGGAAUCUUCCGCAAUGGGCGAAAGCCUGACGGAGCAACGCCGCGUGAGUGAUGAAGGUCUUCGGAUCGUAAAACUCUGUUAUUAGGGAAGAACAAAUGUGUAAGUAACUAUGCACAUCUUGACGGUACCUAAUCAGAAAGCCACGGCUAACUACGUGCCAGCAGCCGCGGUAAUACGUAGGUGGCAAGCGUUAUCCGGAAUUAUUGGGCGUAAAGCGCGCGUAGGGGGUUUUUUAAGUCUGAUGUGAAAGCCCACGGCUCAACCGUGGAGGGUCAUUGGAAACUGGAAAACUUGAGUGCAGAAGAGGAAAGUGGAAUUCCAUGUGUAGCGGUGAAAUGCGCAGAGAUAUGGAGGAACACCAGUGGCGAAGGCGACUUUCUGGUCUGUAACUGACGCUGAUGUGCGAAAGCGUGGGGAUCAAACAGG